UACAGAGGUCCCGAGCGUUGUUCGGAUUCACUGGGCGUAAAGGGUGCGUAGGCGGCGCGGUAAGUCGGGUGUGAAAUCUCGGAGCUUAACUCCGAAACUGCAUUCGAUACUGCCGUGCUUGAGGACUGGAGAGGAGACUGGAAUUUACGGUGUAGCGGUGAAAUGCGUAGAUAUCGUAAGGAAGACCAGUGGCGAAGGCGGGUCUCUGGACAGUUCCUGACGCUGAGGCACGAAGGUCAGGGGGAGCAAACGGG
rnacentral:rRNA from 1 species